UACGUAGGGCGCAAGCGUUGUCCGGAAUUAUUGGGCGUAAAGAGCUCGUAGGCGGCUUGUCACGUCGGGUGUGAAAGCCCGGGGCUUAACCCGGGAAUUGCGUUUGAUACUGUUGGGCUUGAGACCGGGAGAGGAUAGCGGAAUUCCCAGUGUAGAGGUGAAAUUCGUAGAUAUUGGGAAGAACACCAGUGGCGAAGGCGGCUAUCUGGACCGGUACUGACGCUGAGGUGCGAAAGCGUGGGGAGCAAACAGG
rnacentral:rRNA from 1 species